GAUUUUCUAAUCAAGGUAAGUCAUGCAACCAAGAUGGAAAUACUGAAGCUUGAAUACAUUGUUCAACCCUUACAUUUCUUAAAAAGAUUAUACUACUUCUAACUACAUGCCAUAUGAUUACUUAAGUUGAAAGAAAUUCCCCAAAUCAAAUCAGCUGGUGGUAAGAGAGGUGGAUUAAGCUGGAAAAUGUAGAAAUUUGUGUGACUGUGUGUUAUUUUAUCCAAACAUAAACUUCACUCAUGAACCCCCAAAGCAGGGUCUCAUUUCCAUUUGGAAAAUUGCAAUUGGUGUUUUUCUCAUUGUCUGUUUUGGUUCUUAUGAAAAGAAAGUGGAAAAAUGGCCUGAUGAGGUGGCAUAACGCAUCAAUCCACACUCCGUCUCUGACUGUUCUCCCCACAGCGGUCAGUCCACAAAGUCUCUAACACUUGCUGCUAUUAAUAAAAGCUGAAGAAAAUGAUGCCUUUGUCUGAAGACAUUAGCAGGAUUGUGGUUGUGUUCCAAAGGACUGGAGGCUGAGAGGAGGGUGUGAGAAGGCCAGUUGCCCAGGGCACCAACCUAAAGAGUUGCUAAAUUUAAGGGGGAAGGCACCCAGCCAGCCAUCAAUGAGCCACAAUUGCUCUGUCGCCAAUCUAGGUGUCCGUGUUGCUUGAAAUAGUUCUGCUUACUUUAAGCUGUUCUACCACAUGUGCUCAGAAAUUCUAAAGACCAUUUACACACUUUAUUGAAGCGAGUUUUUAAAAAUUGGACACGCAGUCUUGCUCUAUACUCAUGUUAAUGACUACUUUAGAAUUAAAGUUAUUAAGACGUCUCAACAUUUUGAAUUUAAACCAGGAAACCAGCACCAUCUCCUGCCUCCCCUGACCCCCAAACCCUCCACAAUAGAAAAAAUAGUUUUCCUAUUUAGUUCUUAUUUGAGGAUACUGCAGUGUUUCAGCAUCCUGGCUGAACGGUAAAAUCACCUAAAAAUCUGAGCCACAUCAGAGUCCAAUUGAAGCAGACCUCUGCGGGUAGGUCCCAGGAAUUUAUAUGUCCUAAGUGCUCCCGGCGUGAUUCUGAUACUCAGUGAGGGUUGAAUGAGAACCAGGUGGUAAUGGCUUCUCUUACACUCUCAGCGUUUAGCUCACAUCUGAAACACCUGGAGGGCUUGUGAAAACAGAUCGUUGAGCCCUGCUCCCAGAGUUUCAGACUGAGUAGGUCUGGGAUGGAGAAUUUCCAUUUCCGUCAAGUUCCAGUGCCUGUCGAUGCUGCUCCAGGGACCACACUUUGAGAACCACCUCUCUAAUAUCUAACCACCUCUAACGAUCCUGACUCAUUCUGCAUAUCCUAAGGAGAACCACAACAACCUAACUUCAACUCCCUAAAGAAAUAAGAAUUAGAAGGAAUGGGGUUUCAGAGACUCGAAAGACUGAACUACUGGGGCUUGAGGAAAAAGGGAUUUGCUUGUGUCUAGGAGAGACUGUGUUCAGGGCUAUCUAUGAUGGGGGUGGAGGGAAAGGUGGAAACAUUUAUCCAAUGCUUGCUGUCUCCCAUUGGUCAAAAGAGGUCCGGGAAUGUGAAAGCCCCUGCACUGCAGUUGUGUGUGUUUGGGGGGUUGGGGCGGGACUGAAGAGGUACCCAGGAGGGCCCCAAAGAGGCAGGGCACCUCAGAUGGCGGUGAGUGCCUGUGGCACAGGCAGGCUACCCCUGGGGAGCCGUCAGAGUCAUGCACUGCUGGCACAAGAUACAUCAGGGCUGGGAGGCUCCGGCCGGUACGGAAGAGGCGUGUGAUUUGGUUUCAGGGAGGGGCCAUGGAUGCCAGCGGAGUGGUCCAUAGUGCCCACCGCAGAACUCUCGGUCGCUUGUGUGACAGGAAUCUACACGUAAAAUAAAAACCAGCCACAAAAUCCUAAUAAGCCAUUUGUUUCAAAGUUCUCUCCAGAUUUACUAGCUCUGCAAAUUCAAUAGAUGGAGGCAGGCACCUGCUUUGUUCAUA
rnacentral:lncRNA from 1 species